GAUGAACGCUGGCGGCGUGCCUAAUACAUGCAAGUCGAGCGAACGGACGAGAAGCUUGCUUCUCUGAUGUUAGCGGCGGACGGGUGAGUAACACGUGGAUAACCUACCUAUAAGACUGGGAUAACUUCGGGAAACCGGAGCUAAUACCGGAUAAUAUUUUGAACCGCAUGGUUCAAAAGUGAAAGACGGUCUUCUUGUCACUUAUAGAUGGAUCCGCGCUGCAUUAGCUAGUUGGUAAGGUAACGGCUUACCAAGGCAACGAUGCAUAGCCGACCUGAGAGGGUGAUCGGCCACACUGGAACUGAGACACGGUCCAGACUCCUACGGGAGGCAGCAGUAGGGAAUCUUCCGCAAUGGGCGAAAGCCUGACGGGGCAACGCCGCGUGAGUGAUGAAGGUCUUCGGAUCGUAAAACUCUGUUAUUAGGGAAGAACAUAUGUGUAAGUAACUGUGCACAUCUUGACGGUACCUAAUCAGAAAGCCACGGCUAACUACGUG
rnacentral:rRNA from 1 species